rnacentral:rRNA from 1 species
CAGUCGCCGCGGGAAUACGUAGGGUGCGAGCGUUAAUCGGAAUUACUGGGCGUAAAGCGUGCGCAGGCGGUUUGUUAAGACAGAUGUGAAAUCCCCGGGCUUAACCUGGGAACUGCAUUUGUGACUGGCCGGCUAGAGUAUGGCAGAGGGAGGUGGAAUUCCACGUGUAGCAGUGAAAUGCGUAGAGAUCUGGAGGAAUACCGAUGGCGAAGGCAGCCAUCUGGCCUAAUACUGACGCUGAGGUACGAAAGCAUGGGGAGCAAACAGGAUUAGAUACCCCUGUAGUCCCUGUCUCUUAUAC